UACAGAGGGUGCGAGCGUUAAUCGGAAUUACUGGGCGUAAAGCGCACGUAGGUGGCUUUGCAAGUCGGAUGUGAAAUCCCCGGGCUUAACCUGGGAACUGCAUUCGAGACUGCAUUACUAGAGUAUGGGAGAGGGAGGCGGAAUUUCCGGGUGUAGCGGUGAAAUGCGUAGAUAUCGGAAGGAACAUCAGUGGCGAAAAGCGGCCUCCUGGACCAAUACUGACCACUCAUGUGCGAAAAGCGUGGGGGAG
rnacentral:rRNA from 1 species